rnacentral:lncRNA from 1 species
GUUUUAGAAUUCAGAGCUGAUUUUUUAUUGUCUUUGAAUUUAAAAACUUAGUAACGAUAAGUUAUCUAUAGUAUAUAUUCCAUCUUUAGUUGUUUUUACUAGUUUUCAUUUUUAAGCUCAUAAUCAUUUUGUAUUUUUGUAAGACUCAUGGAUGCUCAUUUACCUUUUAAACAGGAGGGGAAAUCAUAUAUUUGGCUAUUAUUCAAAGGAAAAGCUUAAUGUGGACUUCCCGAUCUCCAUGGGAACCCAAUAAGUCUUCCCAUGAUUCAUUUUCUAGACCUGGAGAAAAAAUUAGUUUCCAUGGAGAUACAAAGGGAGAAGAAAAUGAAACCGAAAGGACAAGGAAGCUGACAGGCAGUGAGAAGGGCUAAAGAAGAGAGUUGAGGCAAACUUCUUACAUGAUCUAAGAAUGUCAUUAUGUUGAUUGUUACCUACGGCCAGCAUCUGAGGAAGCCAUCUCAGAAAGAUUCUCUAUAACCAAGAAAUUCAUACAGAGUGCUCACCACUGAAAGCACACAGAGUUGAAGCCAGGUAACAAUAAACUAUAAAUAUUAAUGUCACAUUCUCAAAGACAUGUUGUGUUUAAGCAUUUGUCUUGUGGAAUCUUACCACACUGUUCUGGAAUAUGUGCAAAUUUUACUACUUUUGAAAUUUGCAUAGAGCUUUAUUUUAUUAAUAAUCAUACAAAAAUACAUAU